UGAUGAUGGUAAGGGUAAUUUCUAAGAAUACCCUUUAAUCUCUCCCAAGCUUGGUAGAGAUUCUCUCGAUCUUUCUGUUUAAAACUCAAGAUUUCACUCCUCAAGUG
rnacentral:snoRNA from 1 species